CCUAGGGGGGCAGCAGUGAGGAAUAUUUGUCAAUGGGCGGGAGCCUGAACCAGCCAAGUCGCGUGAGGGAUGACGGCCCUAUGGGUUGUAAACCUCUUUUUCUGGGGAGCAAAGUGCUGCACGUGUUCGGGUUGGAGAGUUCCCGGAGAAAAAGCAUCGGGCAACUCCGUGCCAGCCGCCGCGGUAAUACGGAGUAUUCAAGCGUUUUCCGGAUUUAUUGGGUUUAAAGGGUGCGUAGGCGGUUCGAUAAGUUAGAGGUGAAAGCCCGGGGCUCAACCCCAGCACUGCCUUUGAUACUGUCGGGCUAGAGUUUAGUUGCGGUAGGCGGAAUGUAUGGUGUAGCGGUGAAAUGCAUAGAGAUCAUACAGAACACCGAUUGCGAAGGCAGCUUACCAAACUACGACUGACGUUGAGGCACGAAAGCGUGGGGAGCAAACAGGAUUAGAUACCCGGGUAGUC
rnacentral:rRNA from 1 species